rnacentral:lncRNA from 1 species
GAGAGAACAUCGCCAGAACUCCAAAAUCCGACGGUAGGAUGGGCCACUUGGGCCAGUCGCCCCGCCAUUCUCGAAAAGAUGAAUCCGAGGGUGGAGAGCCCUCAGUCAGAUCACGAUUCUACUCUUGGAAGAUCUCUACCUCCAUUCUGCCAGAAGACCCUCGAGACCCGUAGUUGAGAGGAUUUCUUGGAUCGAAGGCUCCAGGAGAUGAACCGGC